GCGCGAUGAAGGUUUACCAUCUUUCGGCUGAGGUUUACCGUUGAUGCCAGAAUUUCUUUACUGAGCGCAG
rnacentral:snoRNA from 1 species